rnacentral:tRNA from 1 species
AGUUGUUUAGCUAUAGUUUAUAAGUAGAUACUUUGAAAGUAUUUGAAAAGUUAAUCUUAACAACUU